GAGGGGGCAGACGCGUGGCUCGGCGGCCCACGCCGGGGAGCAGGAGACGGCAGCCGUGUAGCGGAGGCGAGCUGGGGCGGGGAGCUGGCGCUGGGUGCAGCGCACCCACCCGUUUUUCCUCCCUGACGUUUUAACUCUUACUAGCCCCCCUCCCGUCCCCGUCGCUGGAAUGAUCAUCACAGCAGGAGACUCACCUGUAAUGAGCACAGGCCAGAUCACUCCCUAACACAAGGGCAGAAGUUGUUAGCAGCACAGAAACAGAACUCAUCAUAUUCCACACUCAAGCUCUGGAUUCUGGGUGUUGAGCACCCACUAUUUUUUUUCUGUGGGUACCUGAGCCCCAGAGCACCUACACAUGGAGUCAGCACCUGUGCAUGGGAGACCAGAAUUGCACACAAACAGUAGUCCAGAUGAGGUCUCACCACCAGUGCCUUGUAUCCUAACACUUCCCUAUCUCUACUGGAAAUACCUUGCCUCAUGCUGCAGCUGCACCCCAGGACCGAGUUAGCCUUUUUCAUAGCCACAUCACAUUGAGGGCUCAUAGUCAUCCUCCUGUGAUCAACAAACACACCCAACCAGGUCUUACUCUUCAUCUCUGUCACUUCCAACUGAUAAAUCCCCAGUUUAUAGCAAAAAUUCUUCGUUAGUCCCUGCAUGAUCUCCCAUUUUGCACUAUUAAAUAUCAUCCCAUUUCUAUUACUCCAGUUUACAUGGUCAUCCAGAUUUUCUUGUAUGAUAUUCUUCCAUAUUGGGAAUACCUCCCAACUUUGUGUCAUUCACAAAUUUCCUACUUUUUUGUGCCAAGGUCAGCAAUAAAAAUGUUAAAUAAGAUUGGUCCCAAGACUGAUCCCUGAGGAACUCCAGACUUCACUAGUAAGCUCCCCCUUGCCUAACAGUUUGCUUUUCAGUAUGACCCAUUGUAGUCUCCCCUUCAACCAGUUCCUUAUCCACAUUUCAGUUCUCAUAUUAAUCCCAAUCUUCUCCAAUUUAACUAAUAAUUUCUCAUUGGAACUGUAUCAAAUGCCUUACUAACAUCCAGGUAAAUUAGAUCUACUGCAUUUCCUUUGUCUAAAAAAUCUUCUCAAAGAAAGAUAUUAGUAAUGUUGUUACCACCUCUUGAAUCCAACAAUUGAAACAAUUGUAGAAAAAUCUUCAAUUACUUUCUGUCAUUUAGGCAACUCACUUUUUGCAGUUCAUCAAGCUUGAGUUGGAACAGAUCAUUUAACUUUAGGAAACAUCCUAACAGCCCUUUCUUAUCUUAAUCACCCAUUAAUCACUCUGUUUAUAAAUAGAAUUCUGACUCCCUGCCUCAGGGACCAACCAAGGAAGUUUUUUUAAAGGCCUUUGAAGCUCCCCCUAGAACUGUGUGCAUAGACACUGCAGAGACUGGGGCCUUGGCUACACUUGCAAGUUAGAGCGCAUUAAAUCAGCCCCGGGCGCCCUAACUCUGGAGGUGUCCACACUGACAAGGCACUUAGAGCAUUUGGACUCUGCAGCUGGAGCGCUUCUGGUAAUCCACCUCCACGAGAAGCAUAGAGCUUGCUGCACCCUGGCUGAAAUGCUGGGGUGUCAGUGUUGCAUUACUGCACUGUGAUUGGCCUGCAGAAAUGUCUCAUAAUCCCUUGAAGU